rnacentral:rRNA from 1 species
GACGAACGCUGGCGGCGUGCCUAAUACAUGCAAGUAGAACGCUGAAGAGAGGAGCUUGCUCUUCUUGGAUGAGUUGCGAACGGGUGAGUAACGCGUAGGUAACCUGCCUUGUAGCGGGGGAUAACUAUUGGAAACGAUAGCUAAUACCGCAUAACAAUGGAUGACACAUGUCAUUUAUUUGAAAGGGGCAAUUGCUCCACUACAAGAUGGACCUGCGUUGUAUUAGCUAGUAGGUGAGGUAAUGGCUCACCUAGGCGACGAUACAUAGCCGACCUGAGAGGGUGAUCGGCCACACUGGGACUGAGACACGGCCCAGACUCCUACGGGAGGCAGCAGUAGGGAAUCUUCGGCAAUGGGGGCAACCCUGACCGAGCAACGCCGCGUGAGUGAAGAAGGUUUUCGGAUCGUAAAGCUCUGUUGUAAGUCAUGAACGGGUGUGAGAGUGGAAAGUUCACACUGUGACGGUAGCUUACCAGAAAGGGACGGCUAACUACGUG